rnacentral:rRNA from 1 species
AUUGAACGCUGGCGGCAGGCCUAACACAUGCAAGUCGAGCGAGCGGCGGACGGGUGAGUAAUGUCUGGGAAACUGCCUGAUGGAGGGGGAUAACUACUGGAAACGGUAGCUAAUACCGCAUACCAUCAGAUGUGCCCAGAUGGGAUUAGCUAGUAGGUGGGGUAACGGCUCACCUAGGCGACGAUCCCUAGCGGGUCGGAGAGGAUGACCAGCCACAUGGGAACUGAGACACGGACCAGACUCCGACGGGAGGCAGCAGUGGGGAAUAUUGCACAAUGGGCGCAAGCCUGAUACAGCCAUGCCGAGUGUCUGAAGAAGGCCUGCGGGUGGUAAAGGACUUUUGUCAGGGAAGCGGUACCUGAAGAAUAAGCACCGGCGAACUACGUGCCAGCAGCCGCGGUAAUAC